rnacentral:tmRNA from 1 species
GGGGGCGCACCGGUUUCGACGGGGACAGUCGAGGCCGGAGUUGCAGGCCGAGGCGCCGCUGGCCUCGUUAAAAGCGGCACCUGAAAUAGUCGCCAACGACUACGAUUACGCCCUGGCUGCUUAGUUGCGGUCACGUUGAAACGGUGGACGCCAGAUAACCCGUUUCGGCGCAAAAAAACAUCUGACUAGCUCAACGAGUCGGUCCGUUGCCCGGAGAGCGAAACAACAGACGGUCUAGGUUUCCUGGUUGCCGUGAGUGGGGGCGUUCCAGGGAAUGACGACAAAACCCAAUCUAAGCCUGUAGAUGCUCCGUCCAAGCGUUCUCGGACGCGGGUUCAAUUCCCGCCGCCUCCACCA